rnacentral:misc_RNA from 1 species
GUUAUCCUUAGACUUGAGUCAUUAAGUUAUCUUAUAUCGAAAUCACUGUGUUUUGAUACUGUUCACAUGUCAUUCUAUAUAAGGAUAACGAAUAUGACAACUAUUGGAUAUAGUAUGAACUAUAUUGAGAUAUUUAUUUAUCAAGAAAGAAUUCAUCAUCCUAGGUAAUUGAGAAAAAUAUUUUAAUUGUUCUUAGUCAAUGUAGAUUGUUAAAUUCUUACGCAAGGUAAAAUAAGAUUAAAAUCUUAUUUAAUUAAUCAAUUACACUGAAAGAAC